rnacentral:rRNA from 1 species
GAGUUUGAUCCUGGCUCAGGACGAACGCUGGCGGCGUGCUUAACACAUGCAAGUCGAACGGAAAGGCCCCGCUCGCGGGGUACUCGAGUGGCGAACGGGUGAGUAACACGUGGGUGAUCUGCCCUGCACUUCGGGAUAAGCCUGGGAAACUGGGUCUAAUACCGGAUAUGACCUCCCUUUAGUGUGGGGGGUGGAAAGAUUUAUCGGUGCAGGAUGAGCCCGCGGCCUAUCAGCUUGUUGGUGGGGUAAUGGCCUACCAAGGCGUCGACGGGUAGCCGGCCUGAGAGGGUGGACGGCCACAUUGGGACUGAGAUACGGCCCAGACUCCUACGGGAGGCAGCAGUGGGGAAUAUUGCACAAUGGGCGGAAGCCUGAUGCAGCGACGCCGCGUGGGGGAUGACGGCCUUCGGGUUGUAAACCUCUUUCGACAGGGACGAAGUGAAAAUGACGGUACCUGUAUAAGAAGCACCGGCUAACUACGUGCCACCAGCCGCGGUAAUACGUAGGGUGCGAGCGUUGUCCGGAAUUACUGGGCGUAAAGAGCUCGUACGUGGUUUGUCACGUCGUCUGUGACAUUCCGGGGCUUAACCUCGGGCGUGCAGGCGAUACGGGCAAUACUUGAGUGCUGUACGGGAGACUGGAAUUCCUGGUUGUAGCGGUGAAAUGCCCAGAUAUCACGAGGAACACCAAUGGCGAGGGCAGGUCUCUGGGGCAGUUACUGACGUUGAAGAGCGAAGCAUGGGGUAGCGAACAGGAUUAGAUACCCUGGUAGUCCAUGCCGUAAACGGUGGGCGCUAGGUGUAGGGGACUUCCACCUUCUCUGUGCCGUAGCUAACGCAUUAAGCGCCCCGCCUGGGGAGUACGGCCGCAAGGCUAAAACUCAAAGGAAUUGACGGGGGCCCGCACAAGCGGCGGAGCAUGUGGAUUAAUUCGAUGCAACGCGAAGAACCUUACCUGGGCUUGACAUACACCGGACCGGCGUAGAGAUACGUCUUCCCUUGUGGCCGGUGUACAGGUGGUGCAUGGUUGUCGUCAGCUCGUGUCGUGAGAUGUUGGGUUAAGUCCCGCAACGAGCGCAACCCUUGUCUUAUGUUGCCAGCACGUGAUGGUGGGGACUCAUGAGAGACUGCCGGGGUCAACUCGGAGGAAGGUGGGGAUGACGUCAAAUCAUCAUGCCCCUUAUGUCCAGGGCUUCACACAUGCUACAAUGGUCGGUACAGCAGGUCGCGAACUCGUGAGAGUAAGCCAAUCCUUCAAAGCCGGCCUCAGUUCGGAUUGGGGUCUGCAACUCGACCCCAUGAAGUCGGAGUCGCUAGUAAUCGCAGAUCAGCAACGCUGCGGUGAAUACGUUCCNCGGGACCUUGUACACGACCGCCCGU